GUAGUCGGAUUCGCAUCAAUCCACAUGUGUUGGUGUGGUGUGGAUUGGAGUGGAAUUUGAACUAAAUUCCAUCCCAAUCCACACCAACACAUGUGGAUUGAGGUGAAUCCAACA
rfam:Sorghum bicolor cultivar BTx623 chromosome 2, whole genome shotgun sequence.